UUAACCUCCACCAGUCGCUGCCAAUUCAGCGACCGGGUUUAGCAGCCCGUCCA
rfam:Pseudomonas sp. 5 contig15, whole genome shotgun sequence.